rnacentral:rRNA from 1 species
GAUGAACGCUGGCGGCGUGCUUAACGCAUGCAAGUCGAACGGAAAGGCCCAAGCUUGCUUGGGUACUCGAGUGGCGAACGGGUGAGUAACACGUGGGUGAUCUGCCCUGCACUUCGGGAUAAGCCUGGGAAACUGGGUCUAAUACCGGAUAGGACCACAUUUUGGAUGGUGUGGUGGAAAGUUUUUCGGUGUGGGAUGAGCUCGCGGCCUAUCAGCUUGUUGGUGGGGUAAUGGCCUACCAAGGCGUCGACGGGUAGCCGGCCUGAGAGGGUGUACGGCCACAUUGGGACUGAGAUACGGCCCAGACUCCUACGGGAGGCAGCAGUGGGGAAUAUUGCACAAUGGGCGCAAGCCUGAUGCAGCGACGCCGCGUGGGGGAUGACGGCCUUCGGGUUGUAAACUCCUUUCGCUAGGGACGAAGCGUUAUGUGACGGUACCUGGAGAAGAAGCACCGGCUAACUACGUG